rnacentral:tRNA from 1 species
GCCUUCGUGGUGUAGUGGUCAGCACAUUGGGCGCGUAUUCCAGAGCUCCGUGGUGGUUCGAGUCCCGGCGAAGGCG